rnacentral:rRNA from 1 species
UACGUAGGUGGCAAGCGUUGUCCGGAAUUAUUGGGCGUAAAGCGCGCGCAGGCGGUCUCUUAAGUCUGAUGUGAAAUCUCGCGGCUCAACCGUGAGCGGUCAUUGGAAACUGGGAGACUUGAGUGCAGAAGAGAAGAGCGGAAUUCCACGUGUAGCGGUGAAAUGCGUAGAGAUGUGGAGGAACACCAGUGGCGAAGGCGGCUCUUUGGUCCGUAACUGACGCUGAGGCGCGAAAGCGUGGGGAGCGAACAGG